rnacentral:rRNA from 1 species
UGAGGAAUAUUGGUCAAUGGGCGAGAGCCUGAACCAGCCAAGUAGCGUGCAGGAAGACGGCCCUAUGGGUUGUAAACUGCUUUUAUAAGGGAAUAAAGUGGGAGUCGUGACUCCUUUUGCAUGUACCUUAUGAAUAAGGACCGGCUAAUUCCGUGCCAGCAGCCGCGGUAAUACGGAAGGUCCGGGCGUUAUCCGGAUUUAUUGGGUUUAAAGGGAGCGUAGGCCGGAGAUUAAGCGUGUUGUGAAAUGUAGACGCUCAACGUCUGCACUGCAGCGCGAACUGGUUUCCUUGAGUACGCACAAAGUGGGCGGAAUUCGUGGUGUAGCGGUGAAAUGCUUAGAUAUCACGAAGAACUCCGAUUGCGAAGGCAGCUCACUGGAGCGCAACUGACGCUGAAGCUCGAAAGUGCGGGUAUCGAACAGG